rnacentral:lncRNA from 1 species
CCAUAUCUUUGCUGCCCAGAAUCUGCAGCAUAAAAAAUUCAUCCUCCACUCUCCCAUAUUUCAAUUCCCACAUGCAUUCAUCCAUUCACACAUACAUUCAUCUCCCUCAAAACCACUCCAAGAAAAAAUGAAUCUGACUCACAAAAAGAUACUCAUUUUGCAUUUCUAAGUCAUAAUCAAAUUCACUUGUGAACCAAUCUCCAAACAAUUUCUUAAAUAAAUGACAGAACUGAAUCCUACACCUCUAAAAAUCCUGAAUCCUACACCUCUAAAGAUAGAAACUUUGAAUAAAAGGGUUGAAGAGAGGCAAGUUUCUGGGUAUUUUAUGUAGGUGGGUGAGUGUGAGGGAAGAAGAUUUUGCCAUGG